GUCGCCAUUUGCCUCGUUUUAGGCAUCUUGAGCAGCCCAAAGACAGUUCAAGGCUGGAAAUCCAAGUGGUGCAGAACGGAUGCUCACUGCUCGCGAUAUGCUCCCUACUGCGGGGAGGGCAAAUGUCGCCCGGUGACAAAAUUCUGCAGAUCGGACGAAAAGGGUGUGGCUGCGUGUAACGCAUGCCACUGCGAGGGCCAUCACUGGAGCUGUACGGAAA